CCCAAUGCCCCUUUGGGCUUCAUGGUGAAUCAUAAUAACUUAACGAAUCGCAUGGCCUUGCGCCGGCGAUGGUUCAUUCAAAUUUCUGCCCUAUCAACUUUCGAUGGUAGGAUAGUGGCCUACCAUGGUAUCAACGCGGUAACGGGGAAUUAGGGUUCUAUUCCGGAGAGGGAGCCUGAGAAACGGCUACCACAUCCAAGGAAGGCAGCAGGCGCGCAAAUUACCCAAUCCCGACACGGGGAGGUAGUGACAAUAAAUACUGAUACAGGGCUCUUUUGGGUCCUUGUAAUUGGAAUGAGUACAAUUUAAAUACCUUAACGAGGAACAAUUGGAGGGCAAGUCUGGUGCCAGCAGCCGCGGUAAUUCCAGCUCCAAUAGCGUAUAUUAAAGUUGUUGCAGUUAAAAAGCUCGUAGUUGAACCUUGGGCCUGGCUGGCCGGUCCGCCUCACCGCGUGUACUGGUCCGGCCGGGCCUUUCCUUCUGGGGAACCGCAUGCCCUUCACUGGGCGUGUGUGGGAACCAGGACUUUUACUUUGAAAAAAUUAGAGUGUUCAAAGCAGGCCUUUGCUCGAAUACAUUAGCAUGGAAUAAUAGAAUAGGACGUGUGGUUCUAUUUUGUUGGUUUCUAGGACCGCCGUAAUGAUUAAUAGGGAUAGUCGGGGGCAUCCGUAUUCAAUUGUCAGAGGUGAAAUUCUUGGAUUUAUUGAAGACGAACUACUGCGAAAGCAUUUGCCAAGGAUGUUUUCAUUAAUCAGUGAACGAAAGUUAGGGGAUCGAAGACGAUCAGAUACCGUCGUAGUCUUAACCAUAAACUAUGCCGACUAGGGAUCGGGGGGUGUUAUCAUUUUGACCUCCUCGGCACCUUACGAGAAAUCAAAGUCUUUGGGUU
rnacentral:rRNA from 1 species